AAAACAACUUCAAGUAACAAACCAAAAACAGUCGACGUGACAAAGUAGGACUUAAAUAAAAAUAAACUUGGCAGGAAUUUGAAUCACGCAAAGAAGCAAACACGCAACCCGCGACAUGGACAGAAUGGAGCAACAAGAAAGACACAACCCAACUAAAAAUGUGACUCCAAGACAGUCAGGAAACUCUGAACUGGAUUUGGGUUCAAGAACUCCAAACGAGCCAAUCCUGUCGCAUAUUUGGAAUGAGAUCGCUUCAUUCCGCGCCUAGCCACACCCCCCAGUUUACACUUGUGCGACCUUGUUUAUUUUGAUUUCUUCUAUCUAAUUAAAUCUUAAUCUAAGGUGUC